rnacentral:lncRNA from 10 species
GCCAACAGGAGCUGGUAAUCAGGAUGGCAGUGAGGCAGGCACUUGCUUGCAGAAGAACAGGCCUAGUUUUUUAAGAAGCCACAAAAGUGUCUUUGGAUGAUUAGGAUCUAAGGGGCCAACAGCUUUGCAAUAACAGCAUAAAUAUUGUGGGCUGGAUGGACAGGCACCAAAUGGGGACAUUCCAUCCUGCUGUGUGAUGAGAAAGCUGCCACUUUUGAGGCCUUCCAAAACAAAUCAACACUCCAUAUGCCAGAAGGAAAAGCCCAGGAAAGACCUAUUCCAACUGGAGAUGGUGAAUGUCAUUUCUUCAAGAAGCUGAGAUCCAGCUGGUACUGCCAGGAAUACGAAGGGAGAAUGAAACAAAACUGCUCCGCUUAGGGAACUUGGAAAGGAAAUUGAAAAGCUAAGGAAAUAGAGACAAACUACAUAAGUUGCUGAAAAAUCACAGCAAAUAAUUAGCUGAGGAAGAGACUCAAAUCUAUCAGAACUGCUUGACUUUUGAUCCUGAGCUUAUGCGCAUCCAGUGGGCAAGUGAGGGUGCAUGGGUUUGUGAAGACUCCAGCAGUAUGAUUGGGGAACUCACUUGCCAGCCUCUGCCUGGACCCAGAGACAUUGCCUGAACUGUAUGAAUUGCUAAGAAGCUGCUAGUCUGCAAGGAAUUUCCCUUUUCUUCUUCCCUUAAUAGACAAAA